UACGUAGGGUGCGAGCGUUUGUCCGGAAUUAUUGGGCGUAAAGAGCUCGUAGGCGGUUUGUCGCGUCUGCCGUGAAAGUCCGGGGCUCAACUCCGGAUCUGCAGUGGGUACGGGCAGACUAGAGUGCGGUAGGGGGUGACUGGAAUUCCUGGUGUAGCGGUGGAAUGCGCAGAUAUCAGGAGGAACACCGAUGGCGAAGGCAGGUCACUGGGCCGCAAACUGACGCUGAGGGAGCGAAAGCAUGGGGAGCGAACAGG
rnacentral:rRNA from 1 species